UACGUAGGGUGCGAGCGUUGUCCGGAAUUAUUGGGCGUAAAGAGCUUGUAGGCGGUUUGUCGCGUCGACUGUGAAAACCUACAGCUUAACUGUGGGCUUGCAGUCGAUACGGGCAGACUUGAGUUCGGUAGGGGAGACUGGAAUUCCUGGUGUAGCGGUGAAAUGCGCAGAUAUCAGGAGGAACACCGGUGGCGAAGGCGGGUCUCUGGACAGUUCCUGACGCUGAGGCACGAAGGUCAGGGGAGCAAACGGG
rnacentral:rRNA from 1 species